rnacentral:rRNA from 1 species
GACGAACGCUGACGGCGUGCUUAACACAUGCAAGUCGAAGGGAGUGGCGAACGUGUGAGUAACACGUGAGUAACCUGCCCUUUUCUUUGGGAUAAGCCUGGGAAACUGGGUACAAGACUGGAUGGAUUGGGAUGGGCUCGCGGCUUAUGAGCUUGUUGGUGGGGUGAAGGCUUACCCAGGCUUUGACGGGUAGCCGGCCGGAGAGGGGGGUCGGGCACACUGGGCCUGAGAUACUGCCCAGACUCCUACGGGAGGCGGCAGUGGGGGAUGUUGCACAAUGGACGAAAGGCUGAUGCAGCGGCGGCGGGUGGGGGUUGAGGGCCUUCGGGUUUGAAAUUCCUUUCGCCCGCGGGAUGGUAGUGGGUAAAGAAGCGCCGGCUAACUACGUGCCAGCAGCCGCGGUAAUAC